UUUAAAGCAUAAGUAAGU
rnacentral:snRNA from 1 species